AAUGAUCUCAUUAACAAACUAGUUCUGUGCGUCCUUAACACUGAGGCCCCUCGCCUGCAGCUGGAGGCAGCUCUCUGUUCAGCCCCAGUGCAGAGUGACACAGACAGGCGACAGCGUCGCUGAGCACUAACUUCUAUUCCACGGAGGCAGACAGCGAAAACCAUUUCAGAACCACGGCAAGGCAUGAGAGAAGCACAGGGGUAAAGUUAGUGAGAAGGAGCACAAAGUACAUGCAGUCUUAUUGUCUACCUGGCAUGGUGCAGAGGGCAGAAAGAAGACAAAGAACGAAGAUAAAAGAAGCCUUUUUCCUCAAGAAGAUUGUAAUCUAGUGGUGGAGCUGGAAAAUAAAGGAAAGCAGUGGCCAUGUAUGUCAUGAGGACAUUCCAGUAACCCUAUGUGGUAAAGAACCGAGUCAGCCUGCCAACAAAAACUGCCACUGAAAAACUGAGCCCUCCUGCUGACAGCCAUGUGAGAGGAACACCUGGGAAGUGGAUCCUCCAGGCCUGGUCAUACUUCAGAUGACUGCAGCCCAAGCCAACAUCUUGCUUGAGUGGAGCCUCAUGAGUGACUCAGUCAAAACCACACAGCUGAGAUAUUUCCAACCCACAGAUACUGAGAUAAUAAAUGUUUAUUGCUACUAGGUUUCCUUCCUUCCUUCCUUCCUUCCUUCCUUUCUUUUCUCUUCUCCUUCCUUCCUUCCUUUCUUUUCUCUUCUCCUUCCUUCCUUCCUUUCUUUUCUCUUCUCCUUCCUUCCUUCCUCCCUCCCUCUCCUCCUCCUCCUUCAUCUUCUUCCUCUUCUUCCUCUUCCCCUUCCCCUUCCUCUUCCUCCUUCUUUCUUUCUUACUUUCUUUCUCUUUCUUUCUUUCUUUCUCUAUGAAAAUAUCAGGUGUACUAUAUUUUACCUGCCUUCAUGUAUACUUGAAUAAUUCCAUAAUAAAACUUUUUAAAAUUCA